rnacentral:rRNA from 1 species
CGAAUGGCGUAAUGAUGGCCAGGCUGUCUCCACCCGAGACUCAGUGAAAUUGAACUCGCUGUGAAGAUGCAGUGUACCCGCGGCAAGACGGAAAGACCCCGUGAACCUUUACUAUAGCUUGACACUGAACAUUGAGCCUUGAUGUGUAGGAUAGGUGGGAGGCUUUGAAGUGUGGACGCCAGUCUGCAUGGAGCCGACCUUGAAAUACCACCCUUUAAUGUUUGAUGUUCUAACGUUGACCCGUAAUCCGGGUUGCGGACAGUGUCUGGUGGGUAGUUUGACUGGGGCGGUCUCCUCCUAAAGAGUAACGGAGGAGCACGAAGGUUGGCUAAUCCUGGUCGGACAUCAGGAGGUUAGUGCAAUGGCAUAAGCCAGCUUGACUGCGAGCGUGACGGCGCGAGCAGGUGCGAAAGCAGGUCAUAGUGAUCCGGUGGUUCUGAAUGGAAGGGCCAUCGCUCAACGGAUAAAAGGUACUCCGGGGAUAACAGGCUGAUACCGCCCAAGAGUUCAUAUCGACGGCGGUGUUUGGCACCUCGAUGUCGGCUCAUCACAUCCUGGGGCUGAAGUAGGUCCCAAGGGUAUGGCUGUUCGCCAUUUAAAGUGGUACGCGAGCUGGGUUUAGAACGUCGUGAGACAGUUCGGUCCCUAUCUGCCGUGGGCGCUGGAGAACUGAGGGGGGCUGCUCCUAGUACGAGAGGACCGGAGUGGACGCAUCACUGGUGUUCGGGUUGUCAUGCCAAUGGCACUGCCCGGUAGCUAAAUGCGGAAGAGAUAAGUGCUGAAAGCAUCUAAGCACGAAACUUGCCCCGAGAUGAGUUCUCCCUGACUCCUUGAGAGUCCUGAAGGAACGUUGAAGACGACGACGUUGAUAGGCCGGGUGUGUAAGCGCAGCGAUGCGUUGAGCUAACCGGUACUAAUGAACCGUGAGG